rnacentral:rRNA from 1 species
UACGUAGGGUGCGAGCGUUACUCGGAAUUACUGGGCGUAAAGCGUGCGCAGGCGGUGAUGUAAGUCAGGUGUGAAAUCCCCGGGCUUAACCUGGGAACUGCAUUUGUGACUGCAAGGCUUGAGUGCGGCAGAGGAGACUGGAAUUCCUGGUGUAGCAGUGAAAUGCGUAGAUAUCUGGAGGAACACCGGUGGCGAAGGCGGCAUCCUGGACCGGCAUUGACGCUGAGGAGCGAAAGCCAGGGGAGCAAACGGG